rnacentral:rRNA from 1 species
UACGUAGGGUGCAAGCGUUGUCCGGAAUUAUUGGGCGUAAAGAGCUCGUAGGCGGCUUGUCGCGUCUGCCGUGAAAGUCCGGGGCUCAACUCCGGAUCUGCGGUGGGUACGGGCAGACUAGAGUGAUGUAGGGGAGACUGGAAUUCCCGGUGUAGCGGUGAAAUGCGCAGAUAUCGGGAGGAACACCGGUGGCGAAGGCGGUUCUCUGGGCCUUACCUGACGCUGAGGAGCGAAAGCGUGGGGAGCGAACAGG